AUUUCUAUGGCGUAGUGGUUUGAGUGUCAGAUUACGACUCUGGAGACCAGGGUUCGAUUCCCAACUCAGCCAUG